rnacentral:ncRNA from 1 species
UAUCUUUGCACACGAAUUAGGACAAGCUUAAUUCACGCAUAAUAAUUAUUUAAACAAUAUUAGCAUG